GUGCUUGCUUCAGUGACACAUAGACUAAAACUGGAAUGAUAUAGAGAUUAGUAUGGCCCCUGAGCAAGGAUGACAUGCAAAUUCAUGAAGCAAUCCAUAUUUUU
rfam:Otolemur garnettii contig022802, whole genome shotgun sequence.